AGAGUUUGAUCCUGGCUCAGAUUGAACGCUGGCGGCAUGCUUUACACAUGCAAGUCGAACGGUAACAGGCCGCAAGGUGCUGACGAGUGGCGAACGGGUGAGUAAUGCAUCGGAACGUGCCCAGUCGUGGGGGAUAACGCAGCGAAAGCUGUGCUAAUACCGCAUACGAUCUAUGGAUGAAAGCGGGGGACCGUAAGGCCUCGCGCGAUUGGAGCGGCCGAUGUCAGAUUAGGUAGUUGGUGGGGUAAAGGCCUACCAAGCCAACGAUCUGUAGCUGGUCUGAGAGGACGACCAGCCACACUGGGACUGAGACACGGCCCAGACUCCUACGGGAGGCAGCAGUGGGGAAUUUUGGACAAUGGGCGCAAGCCUGAUCCAGCAAUGCCGCGUGCAGGAAGAAGGCCUUCGGGUUGUAAACUGCUUUUGUACGGAACGAAACGGUCUGGGUUAAUACCCUGGCUAAUGACGGUACCGUAAGAAUAAGCACCGGCUAACUACGUGCCAGCAGCCGCGGUAAUACGUAGGGUGCAAGCGUUAAUCGGAAUUACUGGGCGUAAAGCGUGCGCAGGCGGCUUUGUAAGACAGGCGUGAAAUCCCCGGGCUCAACCUGGGAAUUGCGCUUGUGACUGCAAGGCUGGAGUGCGGCAGAGGGGGAUGGAAUUCCGCGUGUAGCAGUGAAAUGCGUAGAUAUGCGGAGGAACACCGAUGGCGAAGGCAAUCCCCUGGGCCUGCACUGACGCUCAUGCACGAAAGCGUGGGGAGCAAACAGGGUUAGAUACCCUGGGUAGUCCACGCCCUAAACGAUGUCAACUGGUUGUUGGGUAUUUACUUACUCAGUAACGAAGCUAACGCGUGAAGUUGACCGCCUGGGGAGUACGGCCGCAAGGUUGAAACUCAAAGGAAUUGACGGGGACCCACACAAGCGGUGGAUGAUGUGGUUUAAUUCGAUGCAACGCGAAAAACCUUACCCACCUUUGACAUGGCAGGAAGUUUCCAGAGAUGGAUUCGUGCUCGAAAGAGAA
rnacentral:rRNA from 1 species